GCCACGGUGGUCUAGCGGUUAGAACGCUGGCCUUGUAAUCCUGGGGUCUCGGGUUCGAUUCACGGCUGUGCCC
rnacentral:tRNA from 1 species